rnacentral:lncRNA from 1 species
UGGCUGCCAUAGAAACCAGCCUGCCAGGUCCAGGCCCGCGUCGCGCCGCGGUGGCCAUCCAGGCUCCUUCCCCGGCUCCCCAGAGCCAGCCCCCCGCUCGGGAUUGGUCCUGUUCAGGACGCUGAGGGACACUAGGCUCUGGUGGCGGAGCCAGAAGCAGACAGACAGCGGGGUUUGCCACGGCCCUGUGGGUCAGAUCUGCUGCUCAUCACAGCUCACAGAGGCUGUGCGACCCAGAUGUCUGCGCCCCGGGACACCCACGAGCCUGCUCCAGUGCCUGCCACUCGGCGCGCCUAGCCUGGCCGCACAGCGAGCUCCCCAGGCGGCCUCCCGACUGAGGAUGAGCUGUCACCUGCCAAAUUUUCAGGACAGCUCAGGGCUUAGAAGAGGGCUCAUCUAAAUAAAGGCCGGCUAAAGUGACAUUGUGCGGAUUUAAUCCUCUGGCUGCCUGUGUGACCAAAGGCUGAUUUACAAGAUUUCCUUUCUGGAGUUCAGAUUAUUAAGUCCCCAGGGUCCUGCAAUUUGACAGCAAGAGAAACACAAAAUGAAGGUCAGAGAUGAGAACCCGCUGCAGGGACUCGGGGG